GUGAAAUGAUGAUUCAGUUUAUCCAUUCGCUGAGUGUGCUGUCCUGACCUCCUUCCAAGUCUCAGUUCCUGUUCUAGGAAUGUGGGGCCACGCAGCCUCCAAAUGCCCUACAGUCUGCAGUGUUCUACUGUGGGCUGUUUGUGUGUUGGUAGGCUGCUGGCAGGAAUGGUUGGUGUCAGCAGGGAUGGGGCCACUUGGUCCCAUCCCACCAAGAUGAGUGGUGGAAAUCUGAUCAC
ensembl:snoRNA SNORD17 small nucleolar RNA, C/D box 17